rnacentral:rRNA from 1 species
CAGCAGCCGCAGGAAUACAGAGGGUGCGAGCGUUAAUCGGAUUUACUGGGCGUAAAGCGUGCGUAGGCGGCUUUUUAAGUCGGAUGUGAAAUCCCUGAGCUUAACUUAGGAAUUGCAUUCGAUACUGGGAAGCUAGAGUAUGGGAGAGGAUGGUAGAAUUCCAGGUGUAGCGGUGAAAUGCGUAGAGAUCUGGAGGAAUACCGAUGGCGAAGGCAGCCAUCUGGCCUAAUACUGACGCUGAGGUACGAAAGCAUGGGGAGCAAACAGGAUUAGAUACCCCGGUAGUCCCUGUCUCUUAUAC